rnacentral:rRNA from 1 species
AGACGGGGGGAGCGAGCGUUGUGCGGAAUCACUGGGCGUAAAGGGCGUCUAGGCGGGCCGGUAAGUCAGAGGUGAAAUCUCCCGGCUCAACUGGGAGCUUGCCUUUGAAACUGCCGGUCUUGAGUGCGGGAGAGGUGCGGGGAAUUCCCGGUGUAGCGGUGAAAUGCGUAGAUAUCGGGAGGAACGCCGGUGGCGAAGGCGCCGCACUGGCCCAGCACUGACGCUGAAGCGCGAAAGCGUGGGGAGCGAACAGGAUUAGAAACCCUUGUAGUCC